rnacentral:lncRNA from 1 species
GUGAACUAAUGAUCACCUUUACAAAAUAUUCAUUAACAUACAUAACUAGAGGAAGAAGCCCUGUCUAACUCUAUGUUAAUGAUCAUGAUAAUAUAAAAGUAAAAUUGUUCUUAAAAUAACUCGAUAUAAAGAACAUACACGUCUAAUUAACCAGAUCAGUACUUGUGUUCAAGUGAAAGCUGAACUUCUUUUCGAGCUUCCUUCUUCUAGUCUUCUUCUCCUUCCCUACAUGACUCGUCAAAGACGUGCCAUAUAUAGUCACGAAUUUAACUGUAUUUAACAUUUUUAACACGAAAUGCAUGUAAUUUGUAUAUAUCCAAAAAUUGCUAAAAUUAGAAUGAAUACUGAAUUUUCAAAUCAUAAACAAAAAUGUUGAACUCAAUAAAUCUAAAUCUUAGAUUCACCUGUGGCUAGCCAGUUUAUAUAAUUGAGUGUGGUUGCUUUUCUAAAAGAAGAGCUAUCGAUUGAUCGCUAAGUCAAACGUAUCCAUAUAUAUAUAUAUAUAUAUAUAUAUAUAAUACUCAUUAAAUCUAAAUCUUAAAUUCUACCCCAGAUUAACAUAUAUAACUAGAUGUAUCAGGUUUAAUUUGAUUGUUUGCCUGAAGAAAGGGUUAUCUAAUCUAAUCAUCAACUAUGUAGGUAAAUCAUACAUAACAAUAUAUCUAACAAAAAAGAAAAACAUAAAAUCUAAACCUCAGAUUCACUCCUGACUAGCCAGUUCCUUAUAUAAGUAAAUGUAUGCUGAAUUUGGUUGCUAGUUUGAAAGAAGGACUAUCUCAUCUGAUCAACUACAAAUAUUUAACAAAGAAAAAGUUCUAAAGGAUCAUCAAUCAACCUACCGAUUUGAUAUAGGAUUUACCCCACUUGGAACUUCAUGAUCAGCAACUAUAAAUUCUCUAGGGUUACUAUUGUCAUCAGAAUAAGAAGAAGAGGAGGAGGAGAAUGAGUCAUCAGGAUUUCUAGGAAUUUUUCUUGAGUGAAAUUUCAUUGUUAUUUCAGCAGAAUUAGGAAAAGCAGAAGAAUUUGAAUGAAAAAGGAUCAGAAAAAUAAAGAAAAAGGUAAACAAGAAAAGAAAGGAGAUUUCUGAGUUUCUGGAUGCCAUAAUCUGAAACAAUAGUAGGCAGGAAAAAAAGAAACUAAAAAUGGAGAUUAAGUU